rnacentral:rRNA from 1 species
CCUACGGGUGGCAGCAGUGAGGAAUAUUGGUCAAUGGACGCGAGUCUGAACCAGCCAAGUAGCGUGCAGGAUGACUGCCCUCCGGGUUGUAAACUUCUUUUAUAAAGGAAUAAAACGAGGCUCGUGUGCCUUUUUGCAUGUAUUUUAUGAAUAAGGGUCGGCUAACACCGUGCUAGCAGCCGCGGUAAUACGGAGGAUCCGAGCGUUAUCCGGAUUUAUUGGGUUUAAAGGGAGCGUAGAUGGGUUGUUAAGUCAGCUGUGAAAGUUUGCGGCUCAACCGUAAAAUUGCAAUUGAUACUGGCAGUCUUGAGUACAGGUGAGGUAGGCGGAAUUCGUGGUGUAGCGGUGAAAUGCUUAGAUAUCACGAAGAACCCCGAUUGCGAAGGCAGCUUACUAAGCUGUGACUGACAUUGAGGCUCGAAAGUGUGGGUAUCAAACAGGAUUAGAUACCCUAGUAGUC